rnacentral:tRNA from 2 species
GCGGGUGUGGUGAAAUUGGUAGACACGCAGGAUUUAGGUUCCUGUGGCGUGAGCCGUGGGGGUUCAAGUCCCUCCACCCGCA